rnacentral:rRNA from 1 species
GAUGAACGCUGGCGGCGUGCCUAAUACAUGCAAGUCGAGCGAACAGACGAGGAGCUUGCUCCUCUGACGUUAGCGGCGGACGGGUGAGUACCACGUGGAUAACCUACCUAUAAGACUGGGAUAACUUCGGGAAACCGGAGCUAAUACCGGAUAAUAUAUUGAACCGCAUGGUUCAAUGGUGAAAGACGGUUUUGCUGUCACUUAUAGAUGGAUCCGCGCCGCAUUAGCUAGUUGGUAAGGUAACGGCUUACCAAGGCUACGAUGCGUAGCCGACCUGAGAGGGUGAUCGGCCACACUGGAACUGAGACACGGUCCAGACUCCUACGGGAGGCAGCAGUAGGGAAUCUUCCGCAAUGGGCGAAAGCCUGACGGAGCAACGCCGCGUGAGUGAUGAAGGUCUUCGGAUCGUAAAACUCUGUUAUUAGGGAAGAACAAAUGUGUAAGUAACUAUGCACGUCUUGACGGUACCUAAUCAGAAAGCAACGGCUAACUACGUG